rnacentral:rRNA from 1 species
GAUCCUGGCUCAGGAUGAACGCUGGCGGCGUGCUUAACACACGCAAGUCGAGCGAAGCACUUUAAUUGGAUUUCUUCGGAAUGACGAGUAUUGUGACUGAGCGGCGGACGGGUGAGUAACGCGUGGGUAACCUGCCUCAUACAGGGGGAUAACAGUUAGAAAUGACUGCUAAUACCGCAUAAGACCACAGCACCGCAUGGUGCAGGGGUAAAAACUCCGGUGGUAUGAGAUGGACCCGCG